CCUACGGGGGGCUGCAGUGGGGAAUUUUGGACAAUGGGGGCAACCCUGAUCCAGCCAUGCCGCGUGCGGGAAGAAGGCCUUCGGGUUGUAAACCGCUUUUGUCGGGGAAGAAAUCCUCUGGGCUAAUACCCCGGGGGGAUGACGGUACCCGGAGAAUAAGCACCGGCUAACUACGUGCCAGCAGCCGCGGUGAUACGUAGGGUGCAAGCGUUAAUCGGAAUUUGUGCGGGUGAAUGUGGAAGAGGCGGGUGAAAUCCCCGGGCUCAACCUGGGAACGGCAUUUGUGACUGCAUAGCUGGAGUGCGGCAGAGGGGGAUGGAAUUCCGCGUGUAGCAGUGAAAUGCGUAGAUAUGCGGAGGAACACCGAUGGCGAAGGCAAUCCCCUGGGCCUGCACUGACGCUCAUGCACGAAAGCGUGGGGAGCAAACAGGAUUAGAUACCCCAGUAGUC
rnacentral:rRNA from 1 species